rnacentral:rRNA from 1 species
UUAAAAAGCUCGUAGUUGGAUUUCUGUCGAGGGCGGGCGGUCCGCACUAUGUGCGUGUAUCUUGUUCGGUCUUGGCAUCCUCUUGGGGAAUGCUUCUGUGCUCGAUUGCAUGGGGUGGAAUUCAAGACUUUUACUUUGAGGAAAUUAGAGUGUUCACGGCAAGCUACCGCUUUGAAUACGUUAGCAUGGAAUAAUAAUAUAGGGCGUAAGUUCUAUUUUGUUGGUUUCUAGGACAUACGCAAUGAUUAAUAGGGACAAUUGGGGGCAUUCGUAUUAACGCGUCAGAGGUGGAAUUCUUAGAUUGCGUUACGACGAACUACUGCGAAAGCAUUUGCCAAAGAUGUUUUCAUUGAUCAAGAACGAAAGUAUGGGGAUCGAAGACGAUUAGAUACCGUCGUAGUCUAUACCAUAAACUAUGCCAAUUAGAGAUUGGGCGUCGUUCGUUUUAUGACUCGCUCAGCACCUUAUGAGAAAUCAAAAUUUUCGGGUUCCGGGGGGAGUAUGGUCGCAAGGCUGAAACUUAAAGGAAUUGACGGAAGGGCACCACCAGGAGUGGAGCCUGCGGCUUAAUUUGACUCAACACGGGA